CAGGUCACUCCUACGGGAGGCAGCAGUGGGGAAUCUUGCACAAUGGGGGAAACCCUGAUGCAGCGACGCCGCGUGAGCGAUGAAGCCCUUCGGGGUGUAAAGCUCUUUCGACAGGAACGAUAAUGACGGUACCUGGAGAAGAAGCUGCGGCUAACUACGUGCCAGCAGCCGCGGUAAUACGUAGGCAGCAAGCGUUGUUCGGAGUUACUGGGCGUAAAGAGUGCGUAGGCGGUCUGGCAAGUUCGGUGUGAAAUCUCCCGGCUUAACUGGGAGGGUGCGCCGAAGACUGUUGGGCUGGAGUAUGGGAGAGGCAGGCGGAAUUCCUGGUGUAGCGGUGAAAUGCGUAGAUAUCAGGAGGAACACCGGUGGUGUAGGCGGCUUGCUGGACCAUAACUGACGCUGAGGCACGAAAGCGUGGGGAGCAAACAGGAUUAGAUACCCUGGUAGUCCACGCCCUAAACGAUGCAGACUUGGUGUAGGCCAUUCAGUUGGUCUGUGCCGGAGCUAACGCGUUAAGUCUGCCGCCUGGGGAGUACGGUCGCAAGGCUGAAACUUAAAGGAAUUGAC
rnacentral:rRNA from 1 species